AUGUAUUUGAGGCACUCGGCGGCGACCACUGCGCAGGUCGGACCUCGUUCGCUCGUAACUCGCUCCGCUUCCUCUGCAGCCAUGUCUGACAAACCCGAUAUGGCUGAGAUUGAGAAAUUCGAUAAGUCGAAACUGAAGAAAACAGAAACGAAAGAGAAAAAUCCACUGCCUUCACAAGAAACGAUUGAACAGGAGAAGCAAGCAGGCGAGUCGUAAUGAGGCGUGCGCCGCCAAUAUGCACUGUACAUUCCAUGAGCAUUGCCUUCUUAUUUUACUUCUUUUAGCUGUUUAACUUUGUAAGAUGCAAAGAGGUUGGAUCAAGUUUAAAUGACUGUGCUGCCCUUUUUCACAUCAAAGAAUGGAGAACUACUGACAACGAAGGCCGCGCCUGCCUCCCAUCCGCCUGUCUCACUGGCAGGGAAGGAAAAGAACUUGCAUGUUGGUG